GUCUACGGCCAUGCCAUCCCGAAGAAGCCCGAUGUCUGAUCUCAAAAGCUAAGCAGGGUUGGGCCUGGUUAGUACUUGGAUGGGAGACCACCUAGGAAGACCAGGUGCUGUAUUUA
rnacentral:rRNA from 1 species